GGAUUAGAUACCCUAGUAGUCCACGCUGUAAACGAUGGAUACUAGAGUUGGCGGGAAUUGACCCCUGCCGACUCGGAGCUAACGCGAUAAGUAUCCCGCCUGGGGAGUACGGUCGCAAGACUAAAACUCAAAGGAAUUGACGGGGGCCCGCACAAGCGGUGGAUUAUGUGGUUUAAUUCGAAGCAACGCGCAGAACCUUACCUAGGUUUGACAUCCUUUGACAACUACAGAGAUGUAGCUUUUGUAGCAAUACAACAAAGUGACAGGUGCUGCAUGGCUGUCGUCAGCUCGUGCCG
rnacentral:rRNA from 1 species